rnacentral:lncRNA from 1 species
UAUGGUUCACGGUUGUAUUGCCCACUAUCUUUAUUUUUCUCUUUCCCCUACGAUUCCCUCUUCCACUCAGCAAUUCUUUUCUGCUAAUGUCUUUCCGAACUCAAUUUGUACAGGGGUUUGUCAAUCCUGGAUCUGGUCAACUAUUUGAUUCAGACAGAUCAUGGAGGCUGGUUCUCAUAUUUUGCUUGGUGAAUUCUUCAAUGCACAAUUUGCCAUGGCUGCUGAUCAGGUAAUUAGUUCACUCGCAGGACUGACGCACCUCAUCUCUUCAUGCAAAUAUAAUCCAACAUAGUCUAUUUCGUCAUGUGCUCCAUCCAAGUGCUAACUGAACCUCAACAUAAACCAGUUGCUUGCUUUGUUUGCAAAGUUAUUUUAGACUUAGAACAUUUUGCUGUUUAGAGGUAGCUUUUCUGUAAAAAGUUGUCGUGCUGCUAUAAUACAACAUGUCACGAAUUGUCAAGAGAAAUCUAGAUAGAUCUGAUUGAGUUAACAAGUUUAUCAUGAUGUAAUAUAUGCAUUGUGAUACAUUCUGCUAUACUGGUUUGAUGCUUGAUUCGUCAAUGUCAUUUCAUAUUCUGAGGAAGUCUCAUUCUUUGAGGGAGAACCUGAUUGAUGGUGAACCUAGGGACUUGGAAGUUUGCUUUGCCCAUUGGUUGAGAUCUAAUGUAUGAAUAAGACUUAACUUAUUUUACAACAGCACAUGACCACUUCUCAAGAGAAGGCAAACUACCUACAUGCAACAAUUAUAAUCUCACUGGUAUGGCUGUCUCUUUUAUUUAAUUUAAAUAAUUGGCAUUACUAGCAUAUUUACCAUUUGUAAAACAGAAUAACCAUUUCUUUAAUUGUUCAUCUUUUUAUUAACUGUUAGUAUAUAUGUAAUGCUCACUCUGCUUUUGCAGGCCCCUUAAGUCAUUCCAGUCCUACAAUGUUCAAAAAAUAUGUGUAAACAAAUUGAUGGCUAAAGUAGACCUGAAGUUCAAGGAAGCUAUCCUUAUAUAUUUAG